rnacentral:rRNA from 1 species
CCUACGGGUGGCAGCAGUGGGGAAUAUUGGACAAUGGGCGAAAGCCUGAUCCAGCCAUGCCGCGUGUGUGAAGAAGGCCUUCGGGUUGUAAAGCACUUUCAGUGGGGAAGAAAGCCUUGGGGCGAAUACCCUCGAGGAAGGACAUCACCCACAGAAGAAGCACCGGCUAACUCCGUGCCAGCAGCCGCGGUAAUACGGAGGGUGCGAGCGUUAAUCGGAAUUACUGGGCGUAAAGCGCGCGUAGGCGGUCUGAUAAGCCGGUUGUGAAAGCCCCGGGCUCAACCUGGGAACGGCAUCCGGAACUGUCAGGCUAGAGUGCAGGAGAGGAAGGUAGAAUUCCCGGUGUAGCGGUGCAAUGCGUAGAGAUCGGGAGGAAUACCAGUGGCGAAGGCGGCCUUCUGGACUGACACUGACGCUGAGGUGCGAAAGCGUGGGUAGCAAACAGGAUUAGAUACCCGAGUAGUC